UGCACAAAUGUCACCUCAUUGCAGCAUC
rnacentral:piRNA from 1 species